rnacentral:lncRNA from 10 species
GGCCCUGGUGUGUGUUGGACCAUCAAUUUAAAAAGACCAGUUGGUUCAGAGAAAAGAAUACUUACACUGUAAGGACAUUCAGAUACAAUGGAAGGAGAACUGCACAAUUCACAUGAGUGUGAGAAAAUGCAGGGGUUUAAAGUUUAAAACAGCACAGGAAAUGAGACUUGCUUGGAGAAAUUAAAUAUAGCGUCUUGAAGAAUAGAGGACAUUCUGAGUGAAGGUCAAGGCAGCAUAAUAUAAUGGAUGUGAGCAUGAACUCUGGAGCCAGACUGCCUGGAUUUGAAUCCCAUCUCUACCACUUAUCUGGUAUGUUAUCUUGAACAAGUUACUCACCUUUCUGUUCCUCAGUAGCCUCUUCUAUAAUAUAGCCAUGAUAAUUGUGUUAGGCUGUUUUUGCAUUGUUGUAGAGGAAUAUGGCAGUCUGGG